rnacentral:rRNA from 1 species
AUUGAACGAGGGCGGCAGGCCUAACACAUGCGAGUCGAGCGGAUGAAGGGAGCUUGCUCCUGGAUUCAGCGGCGGACGGGUGAGUAAUGCCUAGGAAUCUGCCUGGUAGUGGGGGAUAACGUCCGGAAACGGGCGCUAAUACCGCAUACGUCCUGAGGGAGAAAGUGGGGGAUCUUCGGACCUCACGCUAUCAGAUGAGCCUAGGUCGGAUUAGCUAGUUGGUGGGGUAAAGGCCUACCAAGGCGACGAUCCGUAACUGGUCUGAGAGGAUGAUCAGUCACACUGGAACUGAGACACGGUCCAGACUCCUACGGGAGGCAGCAGUGGGGAAUAUUGGACAAUGGGCGAAAGCCUGAUCCAGCCAUGCCGCGUGUGUGAAGAAGGUCUUCGGAUUGUAAAGCACUUUAAGUUGGGAGGAAGGGCAGUAAGUUAAUACCUUGCUGUUUUGACGUUACCAACAGAAUAAGCACCGGCUAACUUCGUG